rnacentral:rRNA from 1 species
UACGGAGGGUGCGAGCGUUGUUCGGAAUCACUGGGCGUAAAGCGCGUGUAGGCGGCCCACUAAGUCUGAUGUGAAAGCCCGGGGCUCACCCCCGGAAGUGCAUUGGAAACUGGUGGACUCGAGUCCCGGAGAGGAGAGUGGAAUUCCUGGUGUAGCGGUGAAAUGCGUAGAUAUCUGGAGGAACACCGGUGGCGAAGGCGGCAUCCUGGACCGACACUGACACUGAGGAGCGAAAGCCAGGGGAGCAAACGGG